UUACGUAUUUUCCAACGUACAAUAAAGAGGAGUAACUGUCUGGCUCCAAACUGAUGAUCAAUUUGCCGCUACUGUAGUCCCAUAAUUGUAUAGGAUUGUUCUUCUGCCAGGAACAAGCCAUCCCCGCACAUAUGUACACCGGAUAUAAAUCGAAGAGAAUGAGCUUGUCUGAUAUCCCAGAAUUGGAUGGUGUCAUCCCAGCCAGCGCUUAUGAUCUCAUACGCAGAUUUGGGGUUGAAGCAGGCGCUAAAGACUCUGGAUUUAUGACCAUCCAUGACGUCCGGCGAGUCACUGUGUUCGAAAAUUAUGAGACGUUUAAAAUUCCAAUUUUUAUUACAAUAUUUUUCUCUUUCUAGAGAUGAAACUUCUACCAGCUAGGAAAUUUUUCUCGGAAUAAAUUACCUUGCGUGAAA